GGGGAAUAUUGGACAAUGGGCGAAAGCCUGAUCCAGCCAUGCCGCGUGAACGAUGAAGGCCUUAGGGUUGUAAAGUUCUUUUGUCAGGGAAGAUAAUGACGGUACCUGAAGAAUAAGCACCGGCUAACUUCGUGCCAGCAGCCGCGGUAAUACGAAGGGUGCUAGCGUUGUUCGGAAUCACUGGGCGUAAAGCGCGCGUAGGCGGCGAUACAAGUCAGAGGUGAAAGCCUGGAGCUCAACUCCAGAACUG
rnacentral:rRNA from 1 species